AUUUGUCUAUGUGGCAUACAAAUCAAGGGCUGAGAUCACACUUCAAGGCCAUACAAAUCAAAGGCAGAGAUCACAUUUCUCUUCCCCUCUGUUUUUCAGAUUUCAAAUUUCAAACAUCAUUCUUGAAGACGCUACCCUUCUCUCUCUCUUUCUCACCCUCACAAACCUCAACCCCUCCUUGCGUAACGCCCAUUUUAGGCCUUUGAUCUUUAAAGCAAAAUUAUCGAUCUUUCCUUACAAUGGACUCUGAUUCGUGGACUACGCGCGUCUCUUAGCUGCCUCCAGGCGAUAUCAAUCUCGAUCUGCUCACGGAGGAGGUGAUGUUGAUGGUGAUGAUGAGCCGCGGCUGGAGUUUCUUUGCCCGUUCUGUGCCGAGGAAUUCGACGUUGCCAUAUCGAAGAAGCCCAUCCUGUUGAAGCUAAGAAUGGGCAUUAACCAAUUGUGGUGCUGCUGUUGUUGGGAAAAUUGUGGUGUUGCUGCUGUUGGGAAAAUUGUGGUGCUACUGCUAUUGGGAAAAUUGUGGUGUUCUUGCUGUUGGGAAAGAAUCGAAUUGUUCGAGGGAUUUAACCCAUGUUAACCAAGUAAUUUGAUUUCUCUUUCUCUCCCUUUCUCUCUAUCUCUAUUUCUUUUUGGUUCUUUCUGGAAUAGCUAUGCUCACAUUUUCUGCACAAAAAAAAAAAAAAAAGAAAGAAAAAAGAAAGAGUAUGAAGAGUAAUUGAGUAAAAAAAGAAGAGUAAUUGAGUAAUUGUAUGUGAAGUCUGACUUCUUCCAUAUUUUUUUUUUUUUAAGUGUUGGUGCUGUGAAAUGUUCUAUUUUGGGUUUGGAAUUGGAUUGUUUUACUAUGAAGCUUUUGGGUGGGGCUGUUGGCAAAAUUGCAGGUUUAGUUGAAGUGCUGGUAAAUUGGUGUUGUUGAAGUGCUAAAUUUGAAGUUUAUUUGGGUUAUUAAUAAAUUGGUGUUUCAUUUGAGUUUCAUAGAAUUUUGUUUCUUCCUGUGAAUUCACUUUUUACUCUUUCAAAAGAAAAAAAAAUUGUGCUAUGUUGUGUGACUCUUUUGGGUGUCUGUCCACUUCAGAUUUCUUUUGCUGUGUUUCUUUGCAUGUUUGUACCAACUGUUUUUUUUUUAAUAUUAUAAAACUUGCAGCUUUCUUGCUAUUUUGAGGUUAUAAAAAUAUAUAAGCCUUUGGUUGGAUUGUAAGGGGUGAGAAAAGAAUGGAAAUGACACAGCACAUCACAUUGGUUUACUGCAUGUAAAGGCAUUACUGUCAUGGAUAUAAACUGUAACCUAUGAGAUUAAGGCCCUUGAUCACCCAUUUUGAUUUAUUUUAAUUCAUUUUGGACCAUAAUGCAUCUUGCAUGUAGUCUGUAGUUUAUGAAAAAUUUUACUUUCCUAUAUGAUCCAAAGGUUUAGUCAUGGAAUUCUUGGGGUUUGUUUAGAAUUUCUUGGGCUGUGUCUGUUUGUUUUGCCUCUCCCAUUCUCUAUCUGUUUGAUUGCUAACUAUUAAACUUAUUUUUCUAUCAGUUUCUUCAUUUUCAUUUUGGUUGUUUUAGGAUCAGUUUGAGAGUGGAAUGAACAAGAGCCUAAUUUCCUCAUUCUACGAACAAUUAAUCAAGCUGUCAUGUGCUUGAAUGUUUUUAUUGUUUUAUUUUAUUUAAAUUUUGUCCUUUACAAAUUUCAAUUACAUUUUGAUCCUAACAUUAUUUACAAUGUUGCUUCAGUUGCCUUCAUUAUUAUUUAUAAAAUGUUGUUGUCGGGUGUAUCUUAUUGCUUUAGAAUUGCCAAUUACAUUAUUGCUUUACUUGCCCUCCCACCCUCUGUUUCUUCCCAGUCCGACAAAGGCAAAGGAAACUAAAUAUAUUCUACUUAGCUUCUUUUGCUAUUUUUUAAAUAGAACUCUACGGUGAUCAUUCUUGAAUAUAUGUGUGAGUCUAUAAAGUUGGAUCAAACUGAGUUUUCUCAAUUGUGUAGUUUUAUUCUCAUUUUAGGAAAUUAUAUGAGCAUCAAAAUUAUAUGAGUCCUUCAUAUUGGUUUGGUUUGUAAACUGUGUUCACAUACUAAUUUUUGGUUUGGAAUUGUUUUGCUUCCGCUACUAUGAAACAUUAUUUGGCCAUUUUUGCCUUAUCUUCUACACUUAAAUUAGGGCUUUCUUUUUCUUAGAGAGAUUUCUUUUUCUUCUUUUUCUUUUUUCCUAGAGCGAUUUCUUUUCUUCUUUUUCUUUUUUCCUUCAAUUUGUGUAGUGGAUUACAAAUAUUUACUUUUAGAUUUGUGGAUUAUGUUGAUUAGGUUAUACAAUUAUUUCUCUUUUGGUCUACAAAACAUGUUGAUGUACACAAAUUUCUCCACCAUGACCACAGUAGCAGAUUUGCCUCUUCCUUUUCGCAGACACCCACACUCACAACCAUCUCUGCUCCUCCCUCCUUAGCGACCCUUUGUCGACAUCUUGAUUGCAACAACUGUAGCAACCCCACUCCCCAUCUCAACCAUCGCACAACUACCAUCUUAGCCUCAUGCAACAUUGCGAAGGCAUGUCCAUGGAUGAUAAAAGCAGAAUGUUAACAAUAGCCAAACUCAUAAUUUGUCAAUCGGCCUUAUCCGCACCAUCUUCUGUCAAUAUCAUGGUCUCUGCAGUGUUCCUCUGCCUCGCAUCCUCUCCUCAACACCAACACACCUCCACCACCGCGGCCACCGCAACAACAACAAACACCCACAUUAUCAACCUCUCCAGAAUAGAUGUGUGUGUUAUAUUUUCUGUAGUCAAUUUCUUAGUAUUUACCAUUUCUAUAUCCAAAAACUAAUCUAUUUUUUUGUUUGUCUAAAAAAUAAAAAAUUAAAUGAUGAGCUUAUAUGACAUUCUACUACUCUCUCUCUUACCCAAUUCAAAAACAACCUCUCCAAAACAGAAUGAUUAUGUAGUUUUAUCUGUUUGGUAUGUUUCUAUUUGGUAUUUUUUCAUUUUUUUUUUUUUUUUUUUUU